rnacentral:rRNA from 1 species
GACGAACGCUGGCGGCGUGCCUAAUACAUGCAAGUUGAGCGCUGAAGGUUGGUUCUUGUACCAACUGGAUGAGCAGCGAACGGGUGAGUAACGCGUGGGGAAUCUGCCUUUGAGCGGGGGACAACAUUUGGAAACGAAUGCUAAUACCGCAUAAAAACUUUAAACACAAGUUUUAAGUUUGAAAGAUGCAAUUGCAUCACUCAAAGAUGAUCCCGCGUUGUAUUAGCUAGUUGGUGAGGUAAAGGCUCAUCAAGGCGAUGAUACAUAGCCGACCUGAGGGGGUGAUCGGCCAGAUUGGGAGUGAGACACGGCCCAGACGCCUGCGGGGGGCAGCAGUAGGGAAUCUUCGGCAAUGGGCGAAAGUCUGACCGAGCAACGCCGCGUGAGUGAAGAAGGUUUUCGGGUCGUAAAACUCUGUUGGUAGAGAAGAACGUUGGUGAGAGUGGAAAGCUCAUCAAGUGACGGUAACUACCCAGAAAGGAGCGGCUAACUACGUG